UCCCUGGUGGCCUAGUGGUUAAGGACUCAGCAUUGUCACUGCUAUGGUUUGAGUUCAAUCCCUGGCCUGGGAA
rnacentral:tRNA from 1 species